GCCGUCAUGGCGGAACUGGCAGACGCGCAUCGUUCAGGUCGAUGUGGGAGUAAUCCCGUGCAGGUUCGAUUCCUGUUGACGGCA
rnacentral:tRNA from 1 species